rnacentral:lncRNA from 1 species
AUCGAUACACUUAUGAUAAUUUUAUUCUUUGUUAGUUUCUUUUAAAUUUUACUGUCAAAUUGCUGAGUUGGAUAAUAAAUGACAUUUGAUGAUUGUACCAGUUUGGGGUUUUACCAUCCGUUUGUCAUAUGUGUACCGGUUGUGAUUUUUCAUUGUGUAAAGCACAUUUAACACAAACUAACUCAGGGUAAAUUUGUUAUAAAUGUAUAAGUUUAGGGUUUUUAGCUAUUAAAAAAUUAGU